rnacentral:rRNA from 1 species
UACGUAUGGGGCAAGCGUUAUCCGGAUUUACUGGGUGUAAAGGGAGCGUAGGCGGCGGGGCAAGCCUGAUGUGAAAGCCCGGGGCUCAACCCCGGGACUGCAUUGGGAACUGCCCUGCUGGAGUGCCGGAGGGGCAGGCGGAAUUCCUAGUGUAGCGGUGAAAUGCGUAGAUAUUAGGAGGAACACCAGUGGCGAAGGCGACCUGCUGGACGGUGACUGACGCUGAGGCUCGAAAGCGUGGGGAGCAAACAGG